AGAGUUUGAUCAUGGCUCAGGAUGAACGCUAGCGGCAGGCUUAAUACAUGCAAGUCGUGGGGCAGCAGGGCUGUAGCAAUACAGUCGCUGGCGACCGGCAAACGGGUGCGGAACACGUACACAACCUUCCUUCUAGUGGGGAAUAGCCCGGGGAAACCCGGAUUAAUACCCCGUAACAUAAUGGAGUGGCAUCACUUUAUUAUUAAAGCUCCGGCGCUGGAAGAUGGGUGUGCGGCUGAUUAGGUAGUUGGCGGGGUAAUGGCCCACCAAGCCUACGAUCAGUAACUGGUGUGAGAGCACGACCAGUCACACGGGCACUGAGACACGGGCCCGACUCCUACGGGAGGCAGCAGUAAGGAAUAUUGGUCAAUGGACGCAAGUCUGAACCAGCCAUGCCGCGUGGAGGAUGAAGGUCCUCUGGAUUGUAAACUUCUUUUAUCUGGGAAGAAACCCAUGGAUUCUUCUGUGGUUGACGGUACCAGAUGAAUAAGCACCGGCUAACUCCGUGCCAGCAGCCGCGGUAAUACGGAGGGUGCAAGCGUUAUCCGGAUUCACUGGGUUUAAAGGGUGCGUAGGCGGACAGGUAAGUCAGUGGUGAAAUCUUUGGGCUUAACCCAGAAACUGCCGUUGAUACUAUUUGUCUUGAAUAUCCUGGAGGUAGGCGGAAUAUGUCAUGUAGCGGUGAAAUGCUUAGAUAUGACAUAGAACACCGAUAGCGAAGGCAGCUUACUACAGGAUGAUUGACGCUGAGGCACGAAAGCGUGGGGAGCAAACAGGAUUAGAUACCCUAGUAGUCC
rnacentral:rRNA from 1 species